rnacentral:rRNA from 1 species
CACGUAGGGGGCGAGCGUUGUCCGGAUUUAUUGGGCGUAAAGAGCUCGUAGGCGGUUUGGCAAGUCGGGUGUGAAAUUUCGAGGCUCAACCUCGAGACGCCACUCGAUACUGCCAUGACUGGAGUCCGGUAGAGGAGUGCGGAAUUCCUGGUGUAGCGGUGAAAUGCGCAGAUAUCAGGAGGAACACCAACGGCGAAGGCAGCACUCUGGGCCGGUACUGACGCUGAGGAGCGAAAGCGUGGGGAGCAAA